UGUCCAGCAGUGGACUGCAAUAGGCUGGAAUGAUGAUGUCUCAUACUAAAGUCCCACAAAAUUUUCCUGUGAACUACAAUAAACUUUUAUGCCAAUGC